GAUGAACGCUAGCGGGAGGCCUAACACAUGCAAGCCGAGCGGUAUUGUUUCUUCGGAAAUGAGAGAGCGGCGUACGGGUGCGUAACACGUGUGCAACCUGCCUUUAUCUGGGGGAUAGCCUUCCGAAAGGAAGAUUAAUACUCCAUAAUAUAUUGAACGGCAUCGUUUAAUAUUGAAAGCUCCGGCGGAUAGAGAUGGGCACGCGCAAGAUUAGCUAGUUGGUGAGGUAACGGCUCACCAAGGCGAUGAUCUUUAGGGGGCCUGAGAGGGUGAUCCCCCACACUGGUACUGAGACACGGACCAGAAUCCUACGGGAGGCAGCAGUGAGGAAUAUUGGUCAAUGGGUGCAAGCCUGAACCAGCCAUCCCGCGUGAAGGACGACUGCCCUAUGGGUUGUAAACUUCUUUUGUAUAGGGAUAAACCUACCCUCGAGAGGGUAGCGGAAGGUACUAUACGAAUAAGCACCGGCUAACUCCGU
rnacentral:rRNA from 1 species